ensembl:lncRNA
CUAGGGAGUAGUGUACAGACAAGGUUCUGGUAGAAUGUUGACUUGAUAUGAGAUAAUGAUGGAUGUAAUGUUCCAGGGUAAGCAUUCUGGAUGUGGACUGUCUUUUUGGGGUUUCGUUUUCAAAACUCUGCUUUUUUAUGUGCUUAUUGAACCUUUUAAGUUUGGACACAGCACUUACUGUUUUUCAUUUAUUUCAUACAGGGUACGGACGCUUCUCCUGAACGCGAAUUUCCUCUAGGUUGUCAGGUGCUUUCUUGUUUUCAGUACAUCAUUGCACUUCAAUUGUGCUCUGUCAGUAGACACCACAAGAAGGAAGAAAGUUCAGAAUUGUCACUGCUGUUCAGAUGGAAGCUGAAAUCUUCAUGUUACCACUGGUCUUCAUCCACUGAGGCUGAUAGUGAAAUACCAAGUGUUGGAAGAUUCCUGGUAAAGUUUUACACGAUGGCAAAAGGACAUCAGAAGCAUCAGAAGACUGUUGGGAAGAUCCCAGGGAGAAUACUGGAAGAAAGGUUUCUGUGCUGCAUAUUGUUUCUCCCUACACGAAGAUUUCUGAGAUUGUAUAAUCUCAGACCUCUCUUACUAGGACAGCGGACUUCUCUUGUUUGGUAUCUAGCCUUGUCUGGGAGUCCACCUUAUUUCUCAGGAGAUAAAGAACGUUAGCCACUCCUGGUGAAGAUGA